AGCUCCAAUAGCGUAUAUUAAAGUUGUUGCAGUUAAAAAGCUCGUAGUUGGAUUUCUGGUGGGAGCGAUCGGUCCGCCCCGCAAGGGGUGUGUACUAGCGUCGUCUCCGGCCAUCCUUGUGGGAACUGUGCGGCCCUUAGUUGGACUGUAUAUGGGAACACAUCGUUUACUGUGAAAAAUUAGAGUGUUUAAAGCAGGCUUAAGCCGUUGAAUACAUUAGCAUGGAAUAAUAAGAUAAGACUUGGGUCAUUAUUUUGUUGGUUUGCGGAUCGAGGUAAUGAUUAAUAGGGAUAGUUGGGGGUAUUCAUAUUUAAUUGUCAGAGGUGAAAUUCUUGGAUUUAUGAAAGAUGAACUUAGGCGAAAGCAUUUACCAAGGAUGUUUUCA
rnacentral:rRNA from 1 species